AAAAUAAAAAAAGAAAAGGAGGAGGGAAAGAAGAAAAAGGGGAAUUUUUGGUGCUACGGGCUGUCCCGGGGUCCCCGAAGUGCCUCCCUGCCAAAGGGGCUGGAGCUCACAGCAUCUCCCAGAGGGCUUGCCGGUACCCUGGAAGGACUUGCCAGUGGAUUGGUGGCUGCUGUAGUCAUGGUGAUGGAGGGAGAGAGCCGAGACAGCACAGAAAUGUCACUGCUUGGCAGGAGGACGUUUGGGGCAAAUGCUCGGGCGAUUAGAUCUGUGUCACCGGGUGCUGCCUGGCUUCUCGCGCUGUUUUUGCUGCUCUCAAAGCCGUUUAGCGGUGGCUUGGCAGAGGAGGUUAUCUUGAACACGCUGCUGUCCAGAAACUGCCAGCAUCUGAAGAGGUUCCAUGGCAAGAGGAGCCACGAAAACUUGGUCUGACACUCUUUAGCCCAGCCUGGGGGUGAUAACCCAGGGGUUUCUGCAGGGGAAGAAACCACGGAAGUUCAAAAGAGAAAGUGAAACAGCCACAAAGCUGCAAGUAGAGAAAAGUGAAAGGGGUCAGAAGUGGUCUGGUCAUCAUAGGGAUUGGGCCAAGGCCAGAAACAGUCUGCUUGUCAGCAGGAGAACCUACAGCCCUGUUGUUCCCAGGCAUCCCAAUAGAAGUGAGGAGCCUCCAAAGAGAAAAUCUCAGCAUGCAGAAGCAGCUACAGGAGUCUCCUGACAGCCAGCAAGUUCUGGGGAGGCUGCCAGGGUGAACAGAUUCUUGGCUUAACCUUCUGGACAUCUGAGGUUGGCAAAGCUACAGCAGGGUGUUAAAGGACACUUGGAAGGUCAUCAAAUAUUUGCAAAGUGCCUUGGCACAGCUGGCUCGAUGCUGUGAAUGUCCACAUGCUGGCAGGACGUGCCACCAUGCGUCAGGCCAUAAACGUAAAAACCCCAAAAUGUUACACUGAAAAAUUCCCGCCCUGUACCCCCACCACAGACACAUGAGGCUGUCGAAGUUGCUUUCAGGGUCUUGGGUGUCUCUUCACUUAAUUUAGGCACCGAAACAGAAGAAGGGAAGGAUCUUCCUCUCUGACUUCACUCAUGCUGUUGACAUUCAUUGCAGGAUUGGUUUACUGAGCAGGUGGAAUUUGGGUGGCAAAUCAGUACUUUGCUCCACAGCGUGACCUUGCAGCAGCUGCUUCCCUGAGUGUGACUGUGUUUGUUCGGAUGGGAAGAAGAGUCUAUGCCCAUCUGUCCCUGUGUGUUCCUGCAGUGCUUGGUGCUGACAGAGGAAAUGUAGCUAUAAUGCCAAAAGAAACCCCAACCAAAACAUUUCAAGCUUCCAAACACAUGAUAUAUGAGGAAAUCACGUCAAGAGCCCAGCAAGUGUUGCAGAGUAAUGCUGCUUCCAGUGUAACAUCCCAGCAGGGUUCAGAUGGAAGUUGCUAGUACCAUCUGAUAAUGGCUUUGCCCGGAGAGCGGCGUGGGUCCUGUGCGGGGACCGCGUCCCCAAGGGUGUGAGCAAGCUGCUCUCCCCACUACUUCUGCUGCUCCCGUUGCAUUUGGCAGCGUGGGAUAAAGUGUCACCACCAGACCGCGAUGGACGGGUGCCCUUUGUGUAGCCGGGAUGUGGCUGUACACCUAUCACAACAAUCCCGGUGGGAAAGGGAAUAACUGGUUGAAGGACACUGUCUCAUUUCAUCUAGUGAAAGGAGAUGCAAAUGAAAAAUUUUUGAGAAAUAUUUGUAUUUAUGUAUCCAAGUAUGAUGUUUGCUUUGAUUACAACAGCAGGAUAUUAUUGAUUCACGUUACCUUUGUGAGCUUCUAUAUCUACAAAAUACCUUCUGGGAGAGAUUGCUGCCUAUCAGAAAAUGUUUUUAUUUCGGGGAGACUUCACCUCCAAGAAGUCCUGGUUUUCAAAGGAGCUUGAAGUUUCAAAUCAGAAAGGCGAAGCUGGCUGAAGGAUGUGUCUUCUCAAGGCUGCCUGGCUAAGCGAGCAGCCCAUGGCAGAUGGGUUUUAUUGCUGGUGGCUGGGAGCUUUAAAUGGAAAUUCCAUAUUGGACCCCAGUUAAGGGGCUGCCCAUGGGAGGAGAUGCUGUGUUGCCUAGGGACAGGGGGACACCCCAGCAGGGACCCAGCUGGACACCCCCGGGAUCAUCUCUUGCUGCUCAUGGGUUUUCUCUCCAUCUCCUACUUCUAAAAGGAUUUUGCACCCUAUUUGUGAUGGAGCUGGCAAGCAUCAGCAACAAAAACGGAUGCAGCUGUUGUUACAGGAAUAAUUAUCGGUUUAUUAACAGAAAAAUUACAGACUAUUUUGCAGUUUGGGCAGAAGUUCAGAGCCCAAACUGGAAUCAGUGCUUUCAACAAGAGACACAUUGAGUGUGAGAAGAGAGACAGAGGUCUGCCGUGGGCUGUCCCUGCUGCGGGAGAGAAGGGCUGACCAGUAGGCACUGAGGUGCAGGCGACUGAGCAGGGCUGGCAACAGUCACAGAUCUGGCCAGGACACAAGUGCCAAUGCAGGAUUUGGUAAGGAGGAAGCUGGUGGGACCUCCAGAUGUUCCCAGGCCAAGUCAGCUCUUACGACAGGGCAAGAGGACACCAGCAAAGAGGCACGGCCAUGCUUGCGGAGCAGAUGGCAAUGGGUCCGUGCACUGCCAUCCAGGCUACCUGCGCCCAGGCUGAAAAGGGCUUUCUGCUGGUGGAAGAAGCACAGAAAUCAGGAAUCCUCAUCCCCAAAUCCGGUCUUGCAUCUUUCACCCCAGAGAAACAUUGUCCCGUCCCUUGCUCAGUCCCUCCCUCCGGUGAAGGCAGGAGAUUCUCCAGCUUCAGCGGAUUUUCUUCAGAUAGAUGUGAAUCCCAUUCUUGGAGCGAAGGAUGAUCUGAGCAGAAAAAGGCAGAAAGGCGUGAGAGUGUCUGCCAGAGAUGUUCUCCGGGGAAAACCGCCACGGGUCAAACACCUGGAAAUGAAGAAUACGCAGCAAGAAAACACGAUUACUUAAGGAGUAAAGGUACUGACCAAUGUUUCCAGAAAUGCAACACCCCAUAAUUUCUGAACAAUGCCAUUGGAGAGAGGAUUCAAUUUGAGAUGGACUGCAAUUCCUACACCAGACUCCCUCGCUUUCCCCUAAGCCUGGUAAUGGUGCUGCCAAGACAAACCAGAUGUAGACAUGGUGAAAGCCAAGAAGCCAGGAGUCGAUUCUCCACAUAUAGGCUGAGCAAAAUCAUCUUUGUGUUUGGUAAUACAAGAAGGUCUUUGGAGCACUUUAUCUCACUGUUUGGGCAGCACUAAGCCCUAACACUGCUGUCUGACCACCUGGUGCCACAGUUGGCUGAUACUAAUGCAAGGAGGUCACUUCUUAGAGUGAUUCCUGUGGGCAAAGAUGCUUGGGAGCAAGGGGAGGGCUCUGCUCUCCUGCUAACAUUGGAAGAGGCACAGCAUAAAGGGGAAAAAUUAUUAGAAGGGCAAAAGAAAACUCACCAAAGGGUCUUUCCAUACUGAGGGGUUUCUGUGAAUGAGAUAAAUGCUUAUCGUGGCGACAGUGCCUGUAAAACAAUUAGGGAGGAGAUAAGGGCUCAGUCACAAAGAAACUAAAGAGAAGGUUGCAGCAUGCUCACACAAAGGUCUGGCUAAGUCAUUAUGGUCUUACCUGUCAACUGGAAACCUAUAAGGAUUUUGUCACUGGCUUUAGAGAAAACUAAACAUUUUCCAUUUGUCGUAAGCAGACAAAGGGUGGAAAUGAGGAAGCCACCAGCACUGUAGGCACAUCAUCCCCACCCUGACACUGCCCACUUGUGUGCCAAAUCAGAGAAGGAAAGGAACAAUGCAGGGCAAUUCCCACACUGCAAGUCAGGAUGGGACUGGUCCCUGUCCCUCUGUUCCUGCAGUUUGCCAAAGCAGGUGAAUCAUGGGCUCAUGCUUGGCCAGGAGGAGAAGGGGCUUUUGGCACAUGCAAAGCUGCCCCAUAGCUGCAGUGGCGGGCAGAAUCAUAGAAUAGUUUAGGUUGGAAGGGAUCUUCAAAGGUCCUUUAGUCCAGCCCCCUGCAAUGUGCAGGGACAUCUUCAACUGGAUCAGGUUGCUCAGAGUGCCGUCCAGCCUGGCCUGGAAUGUUUCCAGGGAUGGGGCAUCUACCACCUCUCUGGGCAACCUGUUCUAUACCACAGGGGUGCCACCAUUCAGCCCGGAUCUCAGUCUAUCAGCAGGAUGCCAACAUCUGCAGAGUCCCCUCUGAAUGUCUGUGCCAGCGAAGGGCAGGUCACAGAGGCAGAGCUGUCACCUGUGCCCUGUGGCCAGCAGCGAGGACAGGGGAAUGGGAUUUACAGACCUUCUG